rnacentral:misc_RNA from 1 species
GCUAUCUCCGCCGCCUGCCGCCGCCGCCGAUCCGCCCCUCCGCUCCGGUGAGAACCAUGGGCACUCUCGGGCGAGCGAUCUACACCGCCGGAUUCUGGAUCCGGGAGACCGGUCAAGCCCUAGAUCGCCUCGGCAGCCGCCUCCAGGGAAACUACUACUUCCAGGAGCAGCUAUCAAGACACCGUACACUCAUGAACAUAUUUGACAAAGUCCCCAAUGUUCACAAAGAUGCAUUUGUGGCUCCAAGUGCGUCCAUCGUUGGAGAUGUUGAAGUUGGACAUGGAUCAUCAAUUUGGUAUGGAUGUGUGUUGAGAGGUGAUGUGAACAGCGUCCGUGUUGGUUCCGGGACAAACAUACAAGAUAACUCUCUUGUGCAUGUAGCAAAAUCCAAUUUAAGUGGGAAGGUGUUGCCAACAAUUAUUGGCGAUAAUGUCACUGUUGGUCAUAGUGCUGUCUUACAUGGAUGCACUGUUGAGGAUGAGGCUUUCAUUGGUAUGGGAUCGACGAUUCUUGAUGGGGUGGUUGUGGA